UGGGGAAUAUUGGGCAAUGGGCGAAAGCCUGACCCAGCAACGCCGCGUGAGUGAUGAAGGCCUUCGGGUUGUAAAACUCUUUGGACAGGGACGAAGAAAGUGACGGUACCUGUAGAACAAGCCACGGCUAACUACGUGCCAGCAGCCGCGGUAAUACGUAGGGCGCAAGCGUUAUCCGGAAUUAUUGGGCGUAAAGAGCUUGUAGGCGGUUCGUCGCGUCUGGUGUGAAAGCCCAUCGCUUAACGGUGGGUUUGCGCCGGGUACGGGCGGGCUAGAGUGCAGUAGGGGAGACUGGAAUUCCCGGUGUAACGGUGGAAUGUGUAGAUAUCGGGAAGAACACCAAUGGCGAAGGCAGGUCUCUGGGCUGUUACUGACGCUGAGAAGCGAAAGCGUGGGGAGCGAACAGG
rnacentral:rRNA from 1 species